rnacentral:rRNA from 3 species
GCAUAUCAAUAAGCGGAGGAAAAGAAACCAACAGGGAUUGCCUCAGUAACGGCGAGUGAAGCGGCAACAGCUCAAAUUUGAAAUCUGGCCCCCUCGGGGCCCGAGUUGUAAUUUGGAGAAGAUGCUUCGGGUGUGGCCCCGGUCUAAGUUCCUUGGAACAGGACGUCACAGAGGGUGAGAAUCCCGUACGUGACCGGUGGCCUCCCCCGUGUGAAGCUCUUUCGACGAGUCGAGUUGUUUGGGAAUGCAGCUCAAAAUGGGUGGUAAAUUUCAUCUAAAGCUAAAUAUUGGCCAGAGACCGAUAGCGCACAAGUAGAGUGAUCGAAAGAUGAAAAGCACUUUGGAAAGAGAGUUAAACAGUACGUGAAAUUGUUGAAAGGGAAGCGCUUGCAACCAGACUUGCGCGCGGCCGAUCAUCUGGUGUUCUCACCGGUGCACUCGGCCGCGCUCAGGCCAGCAUCGGUUCGGGUGGCUGGACAAAGGCCUCGGGAAUGUGGCUCUCUUCGGGGAGUGUUAUAGCCCGAGGUGCAAUGCAGCCUACCCGGACCGAGGACCGCGCUCCGGCUAGGAUGCUGGCGUAAUGGUUGUAAGCGACCCGUCUUGAAACACGGACC